rnacentral:rRNA from 1 species
AGGACGAACGCUGGCGGCGUGCUUAACACAUGCAAGUCGAGCGGAAAGGCCCUUCGGGGUACUCGAGCGGCGAACGGGUGAGUAACACGUGGGUAACCUGCCCCUUGCUCUGGGAUAACUCCGGGAAACCGGGGCUAAUACCGGAUAUGACACUCGCAGGCAUCUGCUGGGUGUGGAAAGUUUUUUCGGCGAGGGAUGGGCCCGCGGCCUAUCAGCUUGUUGGUGGGUGAUGGCCUACCAAGGCGGUGACGGGU